rnacentral:rRNA from 1 species
UACGGGGGGGGUAAGCGUUGUUCGGAAUUACUGGGCGUAAAGGGCGCGUAGGCGGCCCGCUAAGUCGAACGUGAAAUCCCCGAGCUCAACUCGGGAACUGCGUCCGAUACUGGCGGGCUUGAAUCCGGGAGAGGGAUGCGGAAUUCCAGGUGUAGCGGUGAAAUGCGCAGAUAUCAGGAGGAACACCGGUGGCGAAGGCGGGUCUCUGGGCCGGUACUGACACUGAGGAGCGAAAGCGUGGGUAGCAAACAGG